GAUGAACGCUGGCGGCGUGCCUAAUACAUGCAAGUCGAGCGAACGGACGAGAAGCUUGCUUCUCUGAUGUUAGCGGCGGACGGGUGAGUAACACGUGGAUAACCUACCUAUAAGACUGGGAUAACUUCGGGAAACCGGAGCUAAUACCGGAUAAUAUUUUGAACCGCAUGGUUCAAAAGUGAAAGACGGUCUGGCUGUCACUUAUAGAUGGAUCCGCGCUGCAUUAGCUAGUUGGUAAGGUAACGGCUUACCAAGGCAACGAUGCAUAGCCGACCUGAGAGGGUGAUCGGCCACACUGGAACUGAGACACGGUCCAGACUCCUACGGGAGGCAGCAGUAGGGAAUCUUCCGCAAUGGGCGAAAGCCUUACGGAGCAACGCCGCGUGAGUGAUGAAGGUCUUCCGAUCGUAAAACUCUGUUAUUAGGGAAGAACAUAUGUGUAAGUAACUGUGCACAUCUUGACGGUACCUAAUCAGAAAGCCACGGCUAACUACGUG
rnacentral:rRNA from 1 species